ensembl:lncRNA
GUGCACAUUACAGGAUUUGUCUUUCUGGACAUGUUUACAAGAUCAGUGACUCAUGGUCACAUGGGUGGCGUUGGUUUAUUUUGUUAUUACGCAAACGAAUCUCGAUAUUUAUUGCAUCUACGUGAAUUAGCUCGGGUGCUAAAUUUAAACGGAUCGGAACGGUUCAUCAUUUAGGCUCGGAUUAGCUUUCAUUAUUUAUUUUGUCGGAGUACAAAUAUAUAGGAAAAUACUACCAAAGAAUGAGAUCAUGAAGUUCAGAGUUUUUUUUCUUUCUUUCUUUCUUUCUUUAUCUUUCUUUAAGGUUAUGAAAAAAAUAAAGGAAAUGGCACAAGAACUAAACGUUUGGGACAAAAAUUUGGAUUUUUAACAUUGUCAGUUGCUUGGUGGAGUAAUAACAGAGUCUCAGAUGUCUCAUAAAAGUUUAUCAGAAAGUCUCAUUUGUUUAUGUGGAGUCGUGUCGGUGUAAGCGUUCUCGUUUCUGAACGGUUCCUCUGUGUAAACGUAGCCGUAAUUUAGUCAUCUGAUAUUGACAUUUUAUUAACAGUGACUUACGAAUAAAAACGGUUCUGCAUAAGUUAACCUUCUUAGAAAUGUGAGUGAUUACAGCUGUCCAGCUCUCGAGAUCCCCACACUGGCUCUCGGUCCCUCGGCUCCGAGCACGGUCUCUUUUUAGGACUAGCUCUUAAACACUAGACUACUGGCCUACUUCGACUUGUGCUUCAUCCAGCUCAGGGUUUCUGUGCUAUAUGACACACAACCACGUGAAUUCGACCGAUACGAUGUCAUUUCACGCACAAGGCCUAAUAUCAGUGUUUAUAAACAACAUUUUUUUAUGUUUGUUGGUCUUGGGGACAUAAACAGAAUUAUUCGAGACCCCUGAUUAUUCACGUAGAUGCAAUAACAAGAAGCGCGUUAUAAGCUCUCUGGACCAAAAAAAAAAAAAACACACAGACUCCGUCGUUAGCAGCGCUUUAUUGUAUGAUGUCGAUAGUUUGAGCACUUGGACGAACGGACUCGCCAAACACAACACCGACUCUCCUCAGUUCCAGCAUGAAGACUAAGGUGUGCAGGACAAGAUCCGUGUGCGAUUUGUUCAUGGAAACACUGACAGCGCUGUAAAAUCAGCAGCACUUCGAUUCUAUAGAGAACGCGUGGGAUUAUUUGGAAGUGAAAAAGUGAAAUACGGCAGAAACUUUUAGCUGAAUUGCACCCAGUCAGCGGAAGAGGGGGGCCAAAACUUACAGGCACUCAAAACACCGUCGGUUUCCUGACUUUACAAAAAAAAAAAGCGAGAGAGACGAAACCAAGUAUUAAAGAAGGAUUUCUUUUUUUCUUUCUUUCUUCCGAGGAACUUCUGAGACUGAACUCAAAGCUUUAAGCUGUGCAGUCGAUUUCAGACAGAUGCACUUCCGUUUUUAAUGUUUUUUUUUUUCUUUUUUUAAAUCAAUUGCAUAAUCCUGUACUGUGUGCUCAGUUUAUCCAGGCUGUUUUUACACUUGGCGUAUUUAUUUUUAACCCGCAGCGCAUGUUUGUCAUGUUAUCAGAGAGGAAUCAGCUGCUUUUAAAAGGCGCUGAUGCUGCUGGGGGGUUUUUUUUGGUCACAGUAGAGCUUCCACAAUCUCCUGACCAAUCCGAUCACAAGCCAAGGGGCAAGACAGAAAAAAACAAACGAGUGCUGGUGAAAGAAUUAGUUAACGAGUCUCUCUUGAUUUCCUGCCUCCAAAGCUACAGCGAAGACAAACCACCUCCUCAUCCCCAGAGUUACGCUGAUCCUUCUUUCGUCUGAUUACUGAGAAUAAUAAAUCUAAUCUACAGAGCAGGCCAGGCUUAAAAACCCACCCAGUGUGAGAGAGAGCUCGGUUUGUGAACUGACUCGGCACGACAUUCCUGGUUUACUGUAGCUCUUCUGUCCGGACGGAACGGAAACCGGUUUGUGUAGCAGCUCGUCUCUCUGGACGCUCUCAGUUUCACGGUGUGACGGAGUGCAGAUGCAGAGGAGGAGUUUGGGAAUGUUGGGGGAUUCCCCUUUGGUCAGGGCUUCUUCAGGUGUUUUCCUCAGCAGCACUUUCCAUUUUAGAGAUUUUAUUUUUCAAUAGUAUGCUUCACUAGAAGUAUACAUGUGUAUAGCAGUUCCACUAAAGCUGUGCUGUUAUCCAGCGUGUAGACUUCAGACCUGCCAACCUUUCACUCGCGCUCGCCGCCCUCUUCCCUCUUCCGCACACUGUCGUGAACUCUCGCUAUCGGCUGGUGUCGCUGUGAUUGACAGGGCUCAGAGCGAGUAUGCCCCUCCCAUCCAGAGAGCAGGUCUCUAUCUCCGGACGGCAAGUCCUUCCCCCAGAUGAACCGAUCGAUAGACGGAUCUGGAAUGACCGACAGCUGCGUAGAUGUUUCGAACUCUCUGAUGUUCACCGACAAUCUCGAAGCCCCGCCCACUUUUCUAUUAUCUUAAAUUCUCUGACGGUAGCUACAAUGGGAAUGUUUUGAGUUCGUUAAUGUGAAAUAAACUCUCUAUCAGUGUGCGUUUGAAUUAGCUAACUUUAUACGUGUAUAUAGCUAACAUCGGCUACUACGUUUAUUAGCGAUGAGAUCCGUAGUUUUUUUUUCUUUUCUUUUUUUCUUUUUUAAGUGAUUAAGUAGGCCAAAUCUAACACGUUACAAAUGAUUUAAUGCUAACGAUCAUUAGAAAGUGAUUAAAUACGUUGUUGUGGCAGUAUUUAAACGUCGUGGCCAAGCCCGUCACGAUAGUGUGUGUGUGUGUGUGUGUGUGUAUACACACACACACACACAGUGUUUUUUGCGAUUUGGAGGGAAACAAAAGUUGUUUGUCUGGUUUUUUUGGUUCGAAUGUAAACACUUAAAGCACGUAACAUCGUUUUCCUAGAAUAGUUUCUACUCCAGUCACGUGACUUACUCGAGCAUGCAUUAUUCUCUCUAAGGUUGGCAGGUUGAAAUGUCAUUUGCGUCGGGAACGCGUCUAUCGUUACGGCGAAACGAAUGACCGUUGUGGUCGUUUUAAUUUUUUUUUAAACGGCAAAACGUCGCUUGUGGAUCAGUCAGAAAACAAGCCGGACGCGGUUGGAUCGAGUUUUAGAGCACGGUUUGCUAAGAUAUUACCAGAAGGCACCAGCAGUUUCCAACUCUUGAUAACUUUCCGGUUACAGCUCCAGAGCUCCCCCUCAUUCCCGAUAACAGUGCUGUCAGGAUGAACUCGGCGUGAUGACCUCACAGGGGUUUUUCCUCAUCCUGUCCUGUAA